GGCGUGCCUCACUGUGCAUU
rnacentral:snRNA from 1 species